UUUCUAGCUUGCUAGAAGAUGACGAGUGGCGCACGGGUGAGUAACGCGUAUACAAUCUACCUUUUACAAGGGGAUAGCCUUUAGAAAUGAAGAUUAAUAUCCUAUAGUAAGUUAUUAUUGCAUGAUAGUAACUUUAAAGCUUCGGCGGUAAAAGAUGAGUAUGCGUUCUAUUAGUUAGUUGGUAAGGUAACGGCUUACCAAGACAACGAUAGAUAGGGGCCCUGAGAGGGGGAUCCCCCACACUGGUACUGAGACACGGACCAGACUCCUACGGGAGGCAGCAGUGAGGAAUAUUGGACAAUGGGCGAGAGCCUGAUCCAGCCAUGCCGCGUGCAGGAAGACUGCCCUAUGGGUUGUAAACUGCUUUUAUACAGGAAGAAACCUUUUCACGUGUGAAAAGCUGACGGUACUGUAAGAAUAAGGAUCGGCUAACUCCGUGCCAGCAGCCGCGGUAAUACGGAGGAUCCAAGCGUUAUCCGGAAUCAUUGGGUUUAAAGGGUCCGUAGGUGGAUAAUUAAGUCAGGGGUGAAAGUCUGCAGCUCAACUGUAGAAUUGCCUUUGAUACUGGUUAUCUUGAAUUAUUGUGAAGUGGUUAGAAUAUGUAGUGUAGCGGUGAAAUGCAUAGAUAUUACAUAGAAUACCAAUUGCGAAGGCAGAUCACUAACAAUCAAUUGACACUGAUGGACGAAAGCGUGGGGAGCGAACAGGAUUAGAUACCCUGGUAGUCCACGCCGUAAACGAUGGAUACUAGCUGUUCGAUUUUCGGAUUGAGUGGCUAAGCGAAAGUGAUAAGUAUCCCACCUGGGGAGUACGUUCGCAAGAAUGAAACUCAAAGGAAUUGACGGGGGCCCGCACAAGCGG
rnacentral:rRNA from 1 species